rnacentral:rRNA from 1 species
GUCUGUUUGUAGGUAUAAAAAGUUUAACCUGCCCACUGAUAAAUUUUUUAAAGGGCCGCGGUAUCCUGACUGUGCAAAGGUAGCAUAAUCGUUAGUUUUUUAAUUGGAAUCUUGUAUGAAUGGUUUGACAAAAGAAGAUCUGUCUUUAUAAUUAUUUAUUGAAUUUAACUUUUAAGUGAAAAGGCUUAAAUAAAUUAAAAAGACGAUAAGACCCUAUAAAGCUUAAUAUUAAAUUUUUAUUUAAUUAAAUUUUGAGUUAUAAUAAAGAUUUGGUAAAAAAAUUUUAUUUUAUUGGGGUGAUAAUGGUAUAAUGAUUAUUAACUGUUAAUUUUUUUAGACAAAGGUAAAUGAAUAAAUAAAUAUUAUUAUAAAGGAUCCUAUAUUAAAGAUUAAAAGUUUAAGUUACUUUAGGGAUAACAGCGUUAUUUUUUUUGAGAGUUCUUAUCGAGAAAAAAGUUUGCGACCUCGAUGUUGAAUUAAAAUAUCUAUAUAAUUGUAGCAGUUAUAUAAGAAGGUCUGUUCGACCUUUAAAAUUUUACAUGAUUUGAGUUCAGACCGGCGUAAGCCAGGUCGGUUUCUAUCUUUUAAUAUUAAAAAAUUAUUUUAGUACGAAAGGAUUAAAUAAUUAAAAUUAUUUUUAAUAGUUGAAUUAAG